rnacentral:rRNA from 1 species
UACGUAGGGGGCAAGCGUUAUCCGGAUUUACUGGGUGUAAAGGGAGCGUAGGCGGUUCAGCAAGUCAGAAGUGAAAGCCCGGGGCUCAACUCCGGGACUGCUUUUGAAACUGUGUUGCUAGAUUGCAGGAGAGGUAAGUGGAAUUCCUAGUGUAGCGGUGAAAUGCAUAGAUAUUACACAGAACACCGAUUGCGAAGGCAGCUUGCUAGGCCGGAUCUGACACUGAUGCACGAAAGCGUGGGGAUCGAACAGG